UCGUCCUGGCGGCAGACUCAAACCGCGACGUCCUGUCGCUUCGUCUGCACUAGUACAUCCUGUACG
rnacentral:sRNA from 1 species